ACCGAGAUUCCCCCAGUAGCGGCGAGCGAACGGGGAGGAGCCCAGAGCCUGAAUCAGCAUGUGUGUUAGUGGAAGCGUCUGGAAAGGCGCGCGAUACAGGGUGACAGCCCCGUACACAAAAGCGCAUAUGCUGUGAGCUCGAUGAGUAGGGCGGGACACGUGGUAUCCUGUCUGAAUAUGGGGGGACCAUCCUCCAAGGCUAAAUACUCCUGACUGACCGAUAGUGAACCAGUACCGUGAGGGAAAGGC
rnacentral:rRNA from 1 species